rnacentral:rRNA from 1 species
AGAGUUUGAUCAUGGCUCAGGACGAACGCUGGCGGCGUGCCUAACACAUGCAAGUCGAGCGGUCUCGCCUAUAGCAAAAGGCCUUCGGGCUUCGAGCAAAGGCGAGAUAGCGGCGGACGGGUGAGUAACGCGUGGCUUAUCUGUCCCAGGGAGGGGGAUAACGUCUGGAAACGGGCGCUAAUACCCCAUAUGCCGGUGAGGUAAAAAGGAGAAAUCCGCCCUGGGGUGAGGCCGCGUCCUAUCAGCUAGUUGGUGAGGUAACGGCCCACCAAGGCUAUGACGGGUAGCCGGCCUGAGAGGGCGGCUGGCCACACUGGGAUUGAGAUACGGCCCAGACUCCUACGGGAGGCAGCAGUGGGGAAUAUUGGGCAAUGGGGGAAACCCUGACCCAGCGACGCCGCGUGGAGGAAGGAGCCCUUCGGGGUGUAAACUCCUGUUGUAAGGGAAGAAGACAGUGACGGUACCUUACGAGGAAGCCCCGGCAAACUACGUGCCAGCAGCCGCGGUAACACGUAGGGGGCGAGCGUUGUCCGGAAUCACUGGGCGUAAAGCGCACGCAGGCGGAUGCGCGCGUCGGCUGUGAAAUGCACCGGCUCAACCGGUGCACUGCGGUCGAUACGGCGCGUCUGGAGUGCGGGAGAGGGAAGCGGAAUUCCCGGUGUAGCGGUGAAAUGCGUAGAUAUCGGGAGGAACGCCGGUGGCGAAGGCGGCUUCCUGGCCCGCAACUGACGCUCAUGUGCGAAAGCCAGGGGAGCGAACCGGAUUAGAUACCCGGGUAGUCCUGGCCGUAAACGAUGGACGCUAGGUGUGGGCGGUUUAUCCGUCUGUGCCGAAGUUAACGCGUUAAGCGUCCCGCCUGGGGAGUACGAUCGCAAGGGUUGAAACUCAAAUGAAUUGACGG